ACGAUGAUGAUGUUUAUGGGCUGAAUGUUUGAAGCUUAUUUGAGUGUUGUAAUCAUCGGAAGAAUCAGGCCCCACUACCUCGGUGUCAUAUCAGCCGUAUCUCCUUUCUUUGCCGCCUUUUGGCUACACGAAUGUUGCAAAUCUUUAUUUUGAGAUAGCCUAUAGCAGCUAAUAAAUGCAAUGCUUUCCAUAGCCAGUGCAAGGCUUAUCUUAGUGGAAUAAUUGUAUACCUUUCUAAUCAUGAUUUCAAGCAAGCCAUGUUGCA